AGUGAACGCUGGCGGUAGGCCUAACACAUGCAAGUCGAACGGCAGCACAGUAAGAGCUUGCUCUUACGGGUGGCGAGUGGCGGACGGGUGAGGAAUACAUCGGAAUCUACUUUUUCGUGGGGGAUAACGUAGGGAAACUUACACUAAUACCGCAUACGACCUACGGGUGAAAGCAGGGGAUCCUCGGACCUUGCGCGAUUGAAUGAGCCGAUGUCGGAUUAGCUAGUUGGCGGGGUAAAGGCCCACCAAGGCGACGAUCCGUAGCUGGUCUGAGAGGAUGAUCAGCCACACUGGAACUGAGACACGGUCCAGACUCCUACGGGAGGCAGCAGUGGGGAAUAUUGGACAAUGGGCGCAAGCCUGAUCCAGCCAUACCGCGUGGGUGAAGAAGGCCUUCGGGUUGUAAAGCCCUUUUGUUGGGAAAGAAAAGCAGCAGGUUAAUACCCCGCUGUUCUGACGGUACCCAAAGAAUAAGCACCGGCUAACUUCGUG
rnacentral:rRNA from 1 species